rnacentral:rRNA from 1 species
UACGAGAGGUCCAAGCGUUAGUCGGAAUCACUGGGCUUAAAGGGUGCGUAGGCGGCUCGGAAAGCGUCUUGUGAAAGCCCUCCGCUCAACGGAGGAACCGCAGGGCGAACUGCCGAGCUUGAGGAAUCUAGAGGCCGGUGGAACGAUAGGUGGAGCGGUGGAAUGCGUAGAUAUCUAUCGGAACGCCAAAGGUGAAGACAGCCGGCUGGGGAUUUCCUGACGCUGAGGCACGAAAGCGUGGGGAUCAAACAGG